rnacentral:rRNA from 1 species
AUAAGCUAAAUAAGGGCGUAUGGGGAAUGCCUAGGCUCUCAGAGGCGAAGAAGGACGUGAUAAGCUGCGAUAAGCUUCGGUUAGUGGCACAUACAUUUACCCGAAGAUUUCCCAAUGGGGCAACCCGGUAUAUUGAAGAUAUAUCAUCCGCAAGGAGGCAAACCAGGAGAACUGAAACAUCUAAGUACCCUGAGGAAGAGAAAAUAAUAAUGAUUCCGUUAGUAGUGGCGAGCGAACGCGGAAGAGCCCAAACUUGUUUUGUUACGGCAAAACAGGGGUUGUAGGACCAUAAUAUGAAGGUAAAACGAACUAGAAUCAGUUGGAAAGCUGAGCGAUAUAGGUGACAGCCCUGUAUAGGUAAGAUUUUAUUGGAUAGUGGUAUCCUGAGUAGCGCGGGGCACGUGUAACCCUGUGUGAAUCUGCCGGGACCAUCCGGUAAGGCUAAAUACUCCUGAGAGACCGAUAGUGAACCAGUACCGUGAGGGAAAGGUGAAAAGAACCCUGAAUAAGGGAGUGAAAAAGAUCCUGAAACCAUACGCUUACAAGCGGUCGGAGCGGCGUAAGCUGUGACGGCGUGCCUUUUGCAUAAUGAGCCUACGAGUUACCGUUGCUAGCAAGGUUAAGCACUUCAGGUGCGGAUCCGUAGCGAAAGCGAGUCUGAAUAGGGCGCUAUAGUUAGUAGUGGUAGACGCGAAACCGUGUGAUCUACCCUUGGGCAGGUUGAAGCUUUGUUAACCCAAAGUGGAGGACCGAACCCGUUGACGUUGAAAAGUCUUGGGAUGACCUGAGGGUAGGGGUGAAAGGCCAAUCAAACUCGGAAAUAGCUCGUACUCCCCGAAAUGCAUUUAGGUGCAGCGUAUACAUAGUUUUAUAGAGGUAGAGCUACUGAUUGGAUGCGGGGGCUUCACCGCCUACCAAUUCCUGACAAACUCCGAAUGCUAUAAAAUGGUUGUAUGCAGUGAGGGCAUGGGUGCUAAGGUCCAUGUCCGAGAGGGAAAGAACCCAGACCAUCAGCUAAGGUCCCUAAAUAUAUGUUAAGUUGAAAAAACGCGGUUGAACUGCUUUGACAGCUAGGAUGUUGGCUUGGAAGCAGCCAUUCAUUUAAAGAGUGCGUAACAGCUCACUAGUCGAGCGGUUCGGCAUGGAUAAUAAUCGGGCAUAAACAUAUUACCGAAGCUAUGGAUUUAUGUAUUAAAUUAUAUAAGUGGUAGGGGAGCAUUGUAGUGGCGUAGAAGGUGUAUCGUAAGGUAUGCUGGAGUAACUACAAAAGAAAAUGUAGGCAUAAGUAACGAUAAGGUGGGCGAGAAACCCGUAGAAGGUGAAUUGUAAAGUUUGCUGGAGUAACUACAAAAGAAAAUGUAGGCAUAAGUAACGAUAAGGUGGGCGAGAAACCCACCCGCCGAAAGACUAAGGUUUCCUCAGCUAUGCUAAUCAGCUGAGGGUUAGUCGGGACCUAACGCGAACCCGAAAGGGGUAGUGGAUGGACAACAGGUUAAUAUUCCUGUACCUGCUCACAAUAAAAGUGACGGAUUCGAAUAGAUGGUGCGUACUGACGGAAUAGUACGUUGAAGCGAGUGGUAACACCGCGAUAGUACACCGAAGCUUCGGCUGGCGUGAUAAUCCAUCGAAUCGAGUUCCAAGAAAAACGAGUGAAGCAGCCCGUACCCUAAACCGACACAGGUAGUUGGGAUGAGAAUUCUAAGGCGCUCGAGCGAUUCAUGGUUAAGGAACUAGGCAAAAUCGACCCGUAACUUCGGGAGAAGGGUCGCCCCACUUCGGUGGGGCCGCAGUGAAGAGGUCCAGGCGACUGUUUAUCAAAAACACAGGGCUAUGCUAAUAAGAAAUUAGAUGUAUAUGGCCUGACACCUGCCCGGUGCUGGAAGGUUAAGAGGAGGGUUUAGCUUUGGCGAAGAUCUGAAUUGAAGCCCCAGUAAACGGCGGCCGUAACUAUAACGGUCCUAAGGUAGCGAAAUUCCUUGUCGGGUAAGUUCCGACCUGCACGAAUGGUGCAACGAUCUGGACACUGUCUCAACCAUGAUCUCGGUGAAAUUGUAGUAUCGGUGAAGAUGCCGGUUACCCGCUGUGGGACGAAAAGACCCCGUGCACCUUUACUAUAGCUUAGUAUUGGUUUUGGAUAAGUAAUGUGUAGGAUAGGUGGGAGACUUCGAUGCUGCGUCGCCAGGCGUAGUUUAGUCAUUGUUGAAAUACCACCCUUUGCUUGUCUAAAGCCUAACUCAGAGAUGAGGACAGUGCUUGGUGGGUAGUUUGACUGGGGUGGUCGCCUCCAAAAGAGUAACGGAGGCUUCUAAAGGUUUGCUCAGUACGGUUGGUAAUCGUGCGUAGAGUGCAAUGGCAAAAGCAAGCUUGACUGAGAGACCUACAAGUCGAUCAGGUACGAAAGUAGAGCAUAGUGAUCCGGUGGUUCCGCAUGGAAGGGCCAUCGCUCAAAGGAUAAAAGGUACGCCGGGGAUAACAGGCUGAUCUCCCCCAAGAGCUCACAUCGACGGGGGGGUUUGGCACCUCGAUGUCGGCUCGUCACAUCCUGGGGCUGGAGAAGGUCCCAAGGGUUGGGCUGUUCGCCCAUUAAAGUGGCACGCGAGCUGGGUUCAGAACGUCGUGAGACAGUUCGGUCUCUAUCUACAGUGGGCGUUAGAAAUUUGAGUGGAUCUGACUUUAGUACGAGAGGACCGAGUUGGACUAACCUCUGGUGUAUCUGUUGUUGCGCCAGCAGCAUUGCAGAGUAGCUACGUUGGGAAGGGAUAAGCGCUGAAAGCAUAUAAGCGCGAAACCCACCACAAGAUGAGAUUUCUUUAAAGGGUCGUGAGAGACGAUCACGUUGAUAGGCUAUAGGUGUAAAGGCAGUAAUGUCAUAGCCAAGUAGUACUAAUAACCCGUAGGCUUAUGUGU